rnacentral:rRNA from 1 species
AUAGCGUAUAUUAAAGUUGUUGCAGUUAAAAAGCUCGUAGUUGAACCUUGGGCCUGGCUGGCCGGUCCGCCUCACCGCGUGCACUGGUCCGGCCGGGCCUUUCCUUCUGGGGAGCCGCAUGCCCUUCACUGGGUGUGUCGGGGAACCAGGACUUUUACUUUGAAAAAAUUAGAGUGUUCAAAGCAGGCCUAUGCUCGAAUACAUUAGCAUGGAAUAAUAGAAUAGGACGUGUGGUUCUAUUUUGUUGGUUUUUAGGACCGCCGUAAUGAUUAAUAGGGAUAGUCGGGGGCAUCAGUAUUCAAUUGUCAGAGGUGAAAUUCUUGGAUUUAUUGAAGACUAACUACUG